rnacentral:rRNA from 1 species
UAGGGAAUAUUAGAAAUGGACGAAAGUCUGAUCUAGCAACACCGCGUGUGCGAUGAAGGCCUUCGGGUUGUAAAGCACUUUUUGGAAGGAUUAGGAAGGAAUGUACUUCCAGAAUAAGUCUCGGCCAACUACGUGCCAGCAGCCGCGGUAAAACGUAGGAGGCGAGCGUUAUCCGGAUUUACUGGGUGUAAAGCGCGUGCAGGCGGUUAGCUAAGUUGGGUGUGAAAGCUCCUGGCUCAACUGGGAGAGGUCGCUCAAGACUGGCUGACUCGAGGAUGGUAGGGGAAGGUGGAAUUCCGGGUGUAGUGGUGAAAUGCGUAGAUAUCCGGAGGAACACCAGUGGCGAAGGCGGCCUUCUGGACCAUCACUGACGCUCAGACGCGAAAGCUAGGGUAGCAAACGG